rnacentral:rRNA from 1 species
GACGAACGCUGGCGGCGUGCUUAACACAUGCAAGUCGAACGAUGAAGCCGGAGCUUGCUCUGGUGAAUUAGUGGCGAACGGGUGAGUAACACGUGAGUAACCUGCCCUUGACUCUGGGAUAACUGCGGGAAACUGUAGCUAAUACCGGAUACGACCAUCGGAGGCAUGUCCGGGGGGUGGAAAGAAUUUCGGUCAGGGAUGGACACGCGGCCUAUCAGCUAGUUGGUGAGGUAAAGGCUCACCAAGGCGACGACGGGGAGCCGGCCUGGGAGGGUGACCGGCCACACUGGGACUGCGACACGGCCCAGACUCCUACGGGAGGCAGCAGUGGGGAAUAUUGCACAAUGGGCGCAAGCCUGAUGCAGCAACGCCGCGUGAGGGAUGACGGCCUUCGGGUUGUAAACCUCUUUUCUCCUGGAAGAAGCGAAAGUGACGGUACCUGCAGAAAAAGCACCGGCUAACUACGUGCCAGCCGCCGCCGUAA